rnacentral:rRNA from 1 species
UACGAAGGGGGCUAGCGUUUUUCGGAAUCACUGGGCGUAAAGCGCACGUAGGCCGAUUGGUCAGUUGAGGGUGAAAUCCCGGGGCUUAACCUCGGAACUGCCUUCAAUACUGCCAGUCUCGAGUCCGGAAGAGGUGAGUGGAAUUCCUAGUGUAGAGGUGAAAUUCGUAGAUAUUAGGAAGAACACCAGUGGCGAAGGCGGCUCACUGGUCCGGUACUGACGCUGAGGUGCGAAAGCGUGGGGAGCAAACAGG